rnacentral:rRNA from 1 species
CCGUUGUACACACCGCCCGUCACACCAUGGGAGCGGGUUCUGCCAGAAGUAGUUAGCCUAACCGCAAGGAGGGCGAUUACUACGGCAGGGUUCGUGACUGGGGUG